CAGGAACUGGUGGUGGCCUGGGCUUGGAGGAUUUUCUAUUUAGAAAAAUGCCCUGAAUGUCCCUGAAGUUUUCAAUCCCAGUUCCCUUUUCUCGGCCAUCUUUGAAGCAGUUUCAUUUCUUAAACUGAUGCUACAGGGGAAUCUUCCUCUGAGGGCCCAGGCCUGCUAAGCUUCAGGAAAUGUGUGUGUGGGAGCAAUGGAUGGGGAUAUUUACUCCAGCGACAAUUGCAGAAGUGACAGGAGCAUGGGGCAGGCUGGGGAAUGCCGAGGCUAGGGUUUACUAGAGAGCGCGUGUGCCACACCAUACCAUGUGCUGGGGACGCAAACACAUGUCAGCGUCAGAGAGAUCAACGGGGACCCUGUCUACUGCUGUCCUGCGGCACACACCACUGCCUGGCCAGCACCAAUGCUCAGCAACUCUGAAGGACACAUAACAAGGGGCCCUCAAAAGACACGGUGAAUGUUUCAAUUAAAAAACAAUUUAUUAGCCGGGUGUGGUGGCGCAGGCCUGUAAUUCCAGCACUUGGGAGGCUGAGGAAGGAGGAUCGUUGUGAGUUUGAGACCAGCCUGGGCUACAUACUGAGUUCCAGGUCAGUCUCCACCACAUAGUGAGACCCUGUCUCAAAACAACAACAACAACAACAACAAAAAAGCAAUUUAUUACAGUAAAAGACACAUUGCCAUGAACGAUGGGAUGUGUGUGUUCAAAGUAAGAGGAAGAUUUUGAGGGAGAUCUAUGGCAAUGUGUCUUUUUACCGUAAUAUAAUUUUUAUGUAAGGAUUCACUAUAUUUUAUGAUCAACUCUCAUUGAUCGAACAAUGGUAAUUUUGGUCAAAUAAAAAUAUGAUGCUGUGAUCUCAUCUAUCUUAUUCAUGGGGUCUGGCACCGUGUGACUUUCGGCUUUUCCCAAAAAUCAAAAUGACCACAAAAGGUAAGUUUUGAAUGGAUUCAGGACAUCAAGGCAGCCACGACCUAGUGACUAGUGAAGCUCAUGAAAGAGAACUUCCAGUGCUGCUUCAGAAAGGGGCAAGAAUGACGGGAUCAGUGUGUUGGAAGUAAGGGGGAGAAUUCUGAAGGAAAUUCAUGGCAGUAUCUGUUAGUGUAAGACAUUUUUAAGAAGUAAACGCCACAUUUGAAUCACAUCUGGUAUUAUCACUGCACUGUGAGCUCACAAACAGGGAGAGGGAGGGUAAGUUCCUCAGGCCCGGGAGAAGUAGGGUUUGGAGCCAAAAUCGGCAUCCAGACCACCUCCUUGGAGCAUGCCCAGUGCAUAUCCUCCUGGGUCCCUUUAAGCUUCUGGGGUCUGAGGGAACCCUGGCACCUCUCCUAAACCGGAGUGCUUUGCUCUGGGUGAACAGGAGGAGCCUUGUACACAGCUGGGACCACAAAUAACCUGAGCCUGUCCAUCUGGGUCACUACUGGAACCAUUCCCAGGAACCCCCUUACCACCUGUCUCAGCCUGGGUCCCCCAAACUCAGAGCCCGAGACCAAGGUUGGUGCACAUGAAGCUAUCCCAGGAGUAGUGAAGAAGGGAGAGCCCCCCCAUGGGUGCUGGACACCAAGCUGGCUACUGCUUUGAGGUAUAGGGACUCUGUUCUGGAUUAGCUGUGCAGUCCUGGGGAUGAAGAGGGUAUAGGAUGCUCCUAGCAUCCCCUGGCCAGAGGAGGUCCUGGGCUUCAACUCUUCCUUCCAG
rnacentral:lncRNA from 1 species